UGAAUAUGGGGGGACCAUCCUCCAAGGCUAAAUACUCCUGACUGACCGAUAGUGAACCAGUACCGUGAGGGAAAGGCGAAAAGAACCCCGGCGAGGGGAGUGAAAAAGAACCUGAAACCGUGUACGUACAAGCAGUGGGAGCACAGAGCAAUCUGUGUGACUGCGUACCUUUUGUAUAAUGGGUCAGCGACUUAUAUUCUGUAGCAAGGUUAACCGAAUAGGGGAGCCGAAGGGAAACCGAGUCUUAACUGGGCGUUAAGUUGCAGGGUAUAGACCCGAAACCCGGUGAUCUAGCCAUGGGCAGGUUGAAGGUUGGGUAACACUAACUGGAGGACCGAACCGACUAAUGUUGAAAAAUUAGCGGAUGACUUGUGGCUGGGGGUGAAAGGCCAAUCAAACCGGGAGAUAGCUGGUUCUCCCCGAAAGCUAUUUAGGUAGCGCCUCGUGAAUUCAUCUCCGGGGGUAGAGCACUGUUUCGGCAAGGGGGUCAUCCCGACUUACCAACCCGAUGCAAACUGCGAAUACCGGAGAAUGUUAUCACGGGAGACACACGGCGGGUGCUAACGUCCGUCGUGAAGAGGGAAACAACCCAGACCGCCAGCUAAGGUCCCAAAGUCAUGGUUAAGUGGGAAACGAUGUGGGAAGGCCCAGACAGCCAGGAUGUUGGCUUAGAAGCAGCCAUCAUUUAAAGAAAGCGUAAUAGCUCACUGGUCGAGUCGGCCUGCGCGGAAGAUGUAACGGGGCUAAACCAUGCACCGAAGCUGCGGCAGCGACGCUUAUGCGUUGUUGGGUAGGGGAGCGUUCUGUAAGCCUGUGAAGGUGUACUGUGAGGUAUGCUGGAGGUAUCAGAAGUGCGAAUGCUGACAUAAGUAACGAUAAAGCGGGUGAAAAGCCCGCUCGCCGGAAGACCAAGGGUUCCUGUCCAACGUUAAUCGGGGCAGGGUGAGUCGACCCCUAAGGCGAGGCCGAAAGGCGUAGUCGAUGGGAAACAGGUUAAUAUUCCUGUACUUGGUGUUACUGCGAAGGGGGGACGGAGAAGGCUAUGUUGGCCGGGCGACGGUUGUCCCGGUUUAAGCGUGUAGGCUGGUUUUCCAGGCAAAUCCGGAAAAUCAAGGCUGAGGCGUGAUGACGAGGCACUACGGUGCUGAAGCAACAAAUGCCCUGCUUCCAGGAAAAGCCUCUAAGCAUCAGGUAACAUCAAAUCGUACCCCAAACCGACACAGGUGGUCAGGUAGAGAAUACCAAGGCGCUUGAGAGAACUCGGGUGAAGGAACUAGGCAAAAUGGUGCCGUAACUUCGGGAGAAGGCACGCUGAUAUGUAGGUGAAGUCCCUCGCGGAUGGAGCUGAAAUCAGUCGAAGAUACCAGCUGGCUGCAACUGUUUAUUAAAAACACAGCACUGUGCAAACACGAAAGUGGACGUAUACGGUGUGACGCCUGCCCGGUGCCGGAAGGUUAAUUGAUGGGGUCAGCGCAAGCGAAGCUCUUGAUCGAAGCCCCGGUAAACGGCGGCCGUAACUAUAACGGUCCUAAGGUAGCGAAAUUCCUUGUCGGGUAAGUUCCGACCUGCACGAAUGGCGUAAUGAUGGCCAGGCUGUCUCCACCCGAGACUCAGUGAAAUUGAACUCGCUGUGAAGAUGCAGUGUACCCGCGGCAAGACGGAAAGACCCCGUGAACCUUUACUAUAGCUUGACACUGAACAUUGAGCCUUGAUGUGUAGGAUAGGUGGGAGGCUUGGAAGUGUGGACGCCAGUCUGCAUGGAGCCGACCUUGAAAUACCACCCUUUAAUGUUUGAUGUUCUAACGUUGACCCGUGAUCCGGGUUGCGGACAGUGUCUGGUGGGUAGUUUGACUGGGGCGGUCUCCUCCUAAAGAGUAACGGAGGAGCACGAAGGUUGGCUAAUCCUGGUCGGACAUCAGGAGGUUAGUGCAAUGGCAUAAGCCAGCUUGACUGCGAGCGUGACGGCGCGAGCAGGUGCGAAAGCAGGUCAUAGUGAUCCGGUGGUUCUGAAUGGAAGGGCCAUCGCUCAACGGAUAAAAGGUACUCCGGGGAUAACAGGCUGAUACCGCCCAAGAGUUCAUAUCGACGGCGGUGUUUGGCACCUCGAUGUCGGCUCAUCACAUCCUGGGGCUGAAGUAGGUCCCAAGGGUAUGGCUGUUCGCCAUUUAAAGUGGUACGCGAGCUGGGUUUAGAACGUCGUGAGACAGUUCGGUCCCUAUCUGCCGUGGGCGCUGGAGAACUGAGGGGGGCUGCUCCUAGUACGAGAGGACCGGAGUGGACGCAUCACUGGUGUUCGGGUUGUCAUGCCAAUGGCACUGCCCGGUAGCUAAAUGCGGAAGAGAUAAGUGCUGAAAGCAUCUAAGCACGAAACUUGCCCCGAGAUGAGUUCUCCCUGACUCCUUGAGAGUCCUGAAGGAACGUUGAAGACGACGACGUUGAUAGGCCGGGUGUGUAAGCGCAGCGAUGCGUUGAGCUAACCGGUACUAAUGAACCGUGAGGCUUAACCUU
rnacentral:rRNA from 1 species